UCCACUGCCUUCUCUUCCACUUUUAUCUCCUUCUUUACUGGGGUCAGUAUGCCUUGGAGGCGUUGGCCAGGAGUGACCCACUCCUCAAAGCUAUGAAGAAACAAGUCUGCACCCAGACCUGGUGUUUCAGGACCAUGGAGAGCAUCCUACAUAGCCAUCAGACCUUUCUGCUCCCCAAACACGCCUGGCCUAUUCCUACCUCUGGACCUUUGUAGCUGCUGUUUCCUUUGCCUGAAAUGCUGUCCUGUGAGAAAUGCUUCUCUUCGGUUACAUCCUUCCAGCGCCAGCCAGACUUUGCAGCCUCCAGGUGGCUUCCCAGCAACUCUGCACACACAAGCUCAUCCAUCUCCAUCACCCUACGAGUGAGUGGCAGGCAGAUAAGGAAACGGAGACCAGGAACGUUUGAGCCACUUGGCCAAGACACACAGGAGGUAACUGGGAGGUUGAACUGAGGUCUGUCUGAGUCCUGAGCAGAGGCAUUUAACCCCCACCACAUCCUACCUCCCAGGAGAAACAUGAGAGAUGAGCCUGCGGCAGAGCCUCCAGGCCCAUGUUCAAAGGAUGACAUAACUCCUGACUCUUGAUCGCCUGUGUCUGUAGAGAAUGAGUCAGGCUUCUCUCCAGCCUCAGCCAGGAGUCCCGAAGAGCAGGCUGAGGGCAGGGAGCUGCUGCCUCCGGGGCAGACUCCUGCAGAGCCCCAGUCCUAACCCCAAUUAUAGAAUUAAUAGUUACCAUUUACUGGGUCUCACAAUGCCCUGGCACUGUUCUUUCCACGUGCAGGCUUAAGUGAACAGCACAGCCACACUAUGAAGUCUAUUAUAACCCCAUUUUAAAGAUGAUGGAACUCAAGGUCAAAGA